rnacentral:rRNA from 1 species
CCUACGGGAGGCAGCAGUGGGGAAUUUUGGACAAUGGGCGCAAGCCUGAUCCAGCCAUGCCGCGUGCAGGAUGAAGGCCUUCGGGUUGUAAACUGCUUUUGUACGGAACGAAAAGACUCUGGUUAAUACCUGGGGUCCAUGACGGUACCGUAAGAAUAAGCACCGGCUAACUACGUGCCAGCAGCCGCGGUAAUACGUAGGGUGCGAGCGUUAAUCGGAAUUACUGGGCGUAAAGCGUGCGCAGGCGGUUAUAUAAGACAGAUGUGAAAUCCCCGGGCUCAACCUGGGAACUGCAUUUGUGACUGUAUAGCUAGAGUACGGCAGAGGGGGAUGGAAUUCCGCGUGUAGCAGUGAAAUGCGUAGAUAUGCGGAGGAACACCGAUGGCGAAGGCAAUCCCCUGGGCCUGUACUGACGCUCAUGCACGAAAGCGUGGGGAGCAAACAGGAUUAGAUACCCUGGUAGUCCACGCCCUAAACGAUGUCAACUGGUUGUUGGGUCUUCACUGACUCAGUAACGAAGCUAACGCGUGAAGUUGACCGCCUGGGGAGUACGGCCGCAAGGUUGAAACUCAAAUGAAUUGAGGCUGAGACGNGCGAGCGACGACGAGGGAGAGG